rnacentral:rRNA from 1 species
UGGCCUACCAAGGCGACGACGGGUAGCUGGUCUGAGAGGAUGGCCAGCCACAUUGGGACUGAGAAACGGCCCAGACUCCUACGGGAGGCAGCAGUGGGGAAUCUUGCGCAAUGGCCGAGAGGCUGACGCAGCGACGCCGCGUGGGGGAUGAAGCAUUUCGGUGUGUAAACCCCUGUUGCUCGGGACGAACGACCGGUUUCGACCGGUGUGACGGUACCGAGUGAGGAAGCACCGGCUAACUCCGUGCCAGCAGCCGCGGUAAUACGGAGGGUGCGAGCGUUGUCCGGAAUCACUGGGCGUAAAGGGCGCGUAGGUGGUUGGAUGCGCCGGUGGUGAAAGCGCAGGGCUCAACCCUGCGUCGGCCAUCGGGACGGUCCGACUGGAGCACUGUAGAGGCAGGUGGAAUUCCGGGUGUAGCGGUGGAAUGCGUAGAGAUCCGGAAGAACACCGGUGGCGAAGGCGGCCUGCUGGGCAGUUGCUGACACUGAGGCGCGACAGCGUGGGGAGCAAACAGGAUUAGAUACCCUGGUAGUCCACGCCGUAAACGAUGGGCACUAGGUGCUUGGGGGAGCGACCCCCUGAGUGCCGACGCUAACGCAUUAAGUG